UUGAGAUAAGCUUAAAAAUACAAUGCACAAGCAUUGGAUGUUCUGAGUUGCUUAUAACAUUAACUAUCUAUUCCUUAAGUAUUUACUCUUCCUUUAUUUCAAGAAAUUUAUUAGCCAUCUUUUCUGACAAAAAUACACGGACCUGUGUGUACUCGUCAAAAUACCCAUAACAAGUACAUGCAAAAAUAGCUCAUGGGUGAGAACGAGUAUAUGAUACCCGCCCUAAAGGGUACAUUGGCGUGUUCUUCAGAAAUCGUUUUUGUAUACUUUGUCUGGUGGAUGUAGACCUAAUCCAUUGUUCGCUUUAAAUGAAGUCCAAGAAAGAACUUUAGUUCUACCAUCAUGCUCAUUUCGAAUUCCUUCUACUUAGCUUAGAAAAUUGUUGGCAUGGAGAUUCAUCAGUUGUACAAAAAAUAGUAUCAUCCAUAUAUAUUUGUACAACACCGAAAUCUUUAUUAUAUGAUUUUCUAAACAAGGUUGUAUCAAUCUUUCUUCU